rnacentral:rRNA from 1 species
GACGAACGCUGGCGGCGUGCUUAACACAUGCAAGUCGAACGGAAAGGCCCUGCUUUUGUGGGGUGCUCGAGUGGCGAACGUGUGAGUAACACGUGAGUAACCUGCCCUUGACUUUGGGAUAACUUCAGGAAACUGGGGCUAAUACCGGAUAGGAGCUCCUGCUGCAUGGUGGGGGUUGGAAAGUUUCGGCGGUUGGGGAUGGACUCGCGGCUUAUCAGCUUGUUGGUGGGGUAGUGGCUUACCAAGGCUUUGACGGGUAGCCGGCCUGAGAGGGUGACCGGCCACAUUGGGACUGAGAUACGGCCCAGACUCCUACGGGAGGCAGCAGUGGGGAAUACUGCACAAUGGGCGGAAGCCUGAUGCAGCAACGCCGCGUGCGGGAUGACGGCCUUCGGGUUGUAAACCGCUUUCGCCUGUGACGAAGCGUGAGUGACGGUAAUGGGUAAAGAAGCACCGGCUAACUACGUG